GAUGAAGAACGUAGCGAAAUGCGAUAAGUAAUGUGAAUUGCAGAAUUCAGUGAAUCAUCGAAUCUUUGAACGCACAUUGCGCCCGCCAGUAUUCUGGCGGGCAUGCCUGUCCGAGCAUCAUUUCAACCCUCGAACCCCUCCGGGGGGUCGGCGUUGGGGAUCGGGAACCCCUAAGACGGGAUCCCGGCCCCGAAAUACAGUGGCGGUCUCGCCGCAGCCUCUCCUGCGCAGUAGUUUGCACAACUCGCACCGGGAGCGCGGCGCGUCCACGUCCGUAAAACACCCAACUUCUGAAAUGUUGACCUCGGAUCAGGUAGGAAUACCCGCUGAACUUAAGCAUAUCAAUAAGCGGAGGA
rnacentral:misc_RNA from 1 species